GCGGGCGUCGUAUAACGGCUAUUAUGCAACCUUGCCAAGGUUGAGACGGCAGUUCGAUUCUGCUCGCCCGCU
rnacentral:tRNA from 1 species